UACAGAGGUCUCGAGCGUUGUUCGGAUUCAUUGGGCGUAAAGGGCGCGUAGGCGGUGAGAUGCGUCCGUUGUGAAAUCGCCCGGCUCAACUGGGCGGGGUCAGCGGAUACGGUCUCACUUGAGCAAGCUAGGGGGCAAUGGAAUUCCCGGUGUAGUGGUGGAAUGCGUAGAUAUCGGGAGGAACACCAGUGGCGAAGGCGGUUGCCUGGGGGCUUUGCUGACGCUGAGGCGCGAAAGCGUGGGGAGCGAUCCGG
rnacentral:rRNA from 1 species